rnacentral:lncRNA from 1 species
UGUUCCUCGGCGGGGGGCCCCGUCCGCUGCACGGGUCAGCACUGUGCCCACGGCCCGCACAAGGCCCCCCGCGCCUUCCCGGCCGGACGCGGACGUGUCCGCGCUGGCAGCUGCUGCCCCGAGCUCUGUGCAGGGCACAGCCUCGCGCCGGCACCUGGAACAGGGCCCAGGAGCUGGAGGCCCCUCUGAGUCACGGUUUCCAGUAUCUCGCACCCUGGCCUCCGGGCCCACGGCUGCGUCAGGGCUGGGAGUCCUUCAGGGGCCCGGCCUCCGCAGCCCACGCGGCAUUUGGCCAUCGCAACGAAAAUGUGGGCCCUCUCUGCUCUUGCCCCAUCAGUGGGAGUUGCUCUCAGGGCUGAAGGCAGAAACGGGCUGGACCAUUCCCCAAAGCGGCCAUUUGCUCCGUUGAAAACUACUUCGGCGUAACAGGCACCGAGGACCUCAUUUCGUAGUGUUUCUGCACAGCGGUCUGUGGGGGAGACAGGACUCUGUUGCCAAAGUUUCAGCCUCCACCAGCCGGCAGAGUGUGCUUGGCCACACCCGUCCACACCCUGCUUCUCACUCCCUAAAGGACCCACUGCGGGCCUCCCAACUUCCGGCUGAUUUCGGCUCAGUCUGCGCCACUGUUUUAAGACAUUCAGGGUUUAGGCGUCAUCCGCCGCUCCUGACUCCGAAGGUGAAGGUGGGGGUUUUGUCGCCCUCGGUGUUGCCUCCAGACCCCAUCCCCCAGCCUCUUCCACGUCAGGCACCACCCGGCUCAGGUGGCCCGGCCCAGCCGUGGGGCCCCGGGCUGGUCGUCCCCAGGGCCAGCUGUGCCCUCCCCCACCAGAGGAGCAAGUCUGCCUUUGUUAAGACUUAGUUCCCACGGCACGAGUGAGAGGGGCCCGGGGCACCGGGUUCCUCCGACCCCGGGUGAGCUGGUCCGCCCGUCACAGAGGGGACUCUGUCCACGUGGCCCGGCGCCUCUCCAGCCCCCACCCCUCCAGCUUCUCCAGCAAAGUGUCGCCGGGUGCGUGGAUCCAAGUCCGAGGCUCCUCUGCACGGGUUCGCCCGGGUAACCGGGCUC